NNNNNNNNGAAACUACGCACUCCUUUGAAGAGGACAACCUUCCCUGAGUGAGAAGGGGGUAUCCUUAAGUCAAGGGUAUAGGCGUAACUGUGAUACCUUGCUAGAACCUCCAAGCAAGCUCUCACGAGAUGAUUAAUACAUAAUGAGAAGAAAUGAAAGU
rnacentral:sRNA from 1 species